rnacentral:lncRNA from 1 species
GUCCUUUCACCUUAAUUUCAUGCUUCUGUCAAUUCUGUAAUUUAUUUAAGUUUAAUUUACUUCUCGUCAAAACCAAACCCUCCCCAUUAUUAAAUUAUAUUAUUUAGUUAGUUUUCAUUGUUGUUAGUCUUUUAAUUCAAUUUCCGUCCACUUCAGUUCCUAGUGUCUAAUUUGAUUGUUUUCAUUAUUUUUAGUCAUUCUAAGUGUGUUUCGAGGUAUUAGAGCUUUUAGCCUAGUUUUGUGUCCUUGAGUCUUGUUUAAUAUUUUUAAAUUAAUUUAGAAUAGAUUAGCAAUCCCUCCUAAUCCCCGGCCUAGAACGAUACCCUACUUACAUCUAUACUACAAUUGUCAAAAAGAGGGUUAAAUUUUGUGUGCUUAUAUUAUUCGCAUCAUGGAUGCACAGGUAAGUAUCAGGUGAGUUUUAUGUGUUCAUGUGAAUUAUUAAUGAUAUGAAUUGUGUUGAGAGCUCAUAACUUGCACCCCUGGUGUUAGUGCUUAUAUUAUUCACCCCGCACCACACGCUCACCUUGGAUCCAAGUAGGUGCAUGUCGAACAGACCAUUAGAGGUGGUUCCGACAUGUCGAACAGACCAUUAGAGGUGGUUCCGACUUGUAGGUGACUUUAGAUUAUUAUACAGUUGUUGAUGAGAGAAGCACUAGAGCGUAUUCUUACACCAUUCUUAUCGUACAGGCUACUUCAGGUAGUUCCGAUUUAUGUGCAGAGUAGUGCCGUACAGGUCACAGUGGUGACUCCGGUUGGGUUGGAUAUUGAGUUAUAGAAUUAACCGUACAGGACAGCUGCAGGGUCUCCGGUUGAUUCAUUAUUUCACCUGUUAUAUUGAUGCAUCCUUAUUAUGUUCGAAGCAUAACAUGGCAUAUUUCUUGAAAAGUGUUAAAAACUUGUGUUUUGAGUUAAUUGCUGUUAUAUAUGGUUAUAUAUACUAUUUUUCUGGGAAAGUAUAUAGGUUUUACAGCGAGGGGUUAGAAGUGUUAUUAAUUGAAAUAUUUUCGAAAAGCUUUAUUUUACUGACCCACUCAAUCUUGUUUUGCGCCUCUUCAGGUUCUAGUUAGCGGUGUUGGUGACCCACGAGGAUUUCCCACGACGUUCUGACAUACUACUUAAAUGUAGGCCUCACCUUCGGGUGUUGUAAUUUAGUAAUGGUUCUACUUGACUGCACUUAGUACUUAUGCUCUGAAUACGUGUGUUUCACACUUAAACUCACUCUAGCAUGUUAGUUGGAUAUUACUGCUAGUAGUUGGUUUUUAUUCCUUCGUAAUUCUUUUAUCUUUUGCUUCCGCAUCGCACUUUUGGUUACGUCACGCCCACAUGACGGUCAGCACGCCUUGAUUCUAGGAUCGGGGUGUGUCACUUAAUGCAUGUUUGUUCCACAUGUUUUUAAUAUAUUCUAAUACUUUGUAUUCUAUGUCAUUUUGUUUUAUAAUUUAUGUAACACAAUAAAUUAUGUUUUUUUAAGUAUAAGUAAACAAUUAUUUUUAUUUUAUAUAACAAAAUUAAUUAAAAAGGGUAUGGGUGCCCACCUAGGCCCUACCUAAUCGUUAGACCAUUAUCCACAGCUCGACUAGCACUUAGCACCUUCUAAAACCUUGAAUAAACUUAAAUGGUUUGGUGUCGAUUGUGGGAUAAUAAAUAGUUUAGAUUAGAGGUCCUCAACCUCAUUACUCAAUACUAAAUAAUGGAUAAGCAGAAAUUUAGGAUUAAAUGAGUUUUCCUUUUAAAAUGGCAUCUUUUGAUCCUUUUUUCCUUUAUUGUUAGAAUUUCAAUUCAACGACUUAAAAGGGAAAUAAUAGUAGCCAAUAAAAAAGAAAAACAGCUUAACCUAACGUCAAAUAUUGCAUAU